AGCAGUAGCCACGGUAAUACGUAGGGUGCAAGCGUUAAUCGGAAUUACUGGGCGUAAAGCGUGCGCAGGCGGUUAUAUAAGACAGAUGUGAAAUCCCCGGGCUCAACCUGGGAACUGCAUUUGUGACUGUAUAGCUAGAGUACGGCAGAGGGGGAUGGAAUUCCGCGUGUAGCAGUGAAAUGCGUAGAUAUGCGGAGGAACACCGAUGGCGAAGGCAAUCCCCUGGGCCUGUACUGACGCUCAUGCACGAAAGCGUGGGGAGCAAACGGGAUUAGAUACCCCUGUAGUCCCUGUCUCUUAUAC
rnacentral:rRNA from 1 species